GCGUCACCUUGACGCUCUGGAUGUUCUUGAGGUGAAUGCCCUGCACGGUCUGCAGGCACUGGCAGCGCAGCUCGGUGACGACGGGCGCCGCUGCGGGGAGAGCAGGCCGGGCAGAUACUGUACAUGACUUCUCACAAGAUCCCCAGAAGGACUGAACCCAGAUGCCUACGCUCUGUUUCACUCUUCCCAGUUCUCCCGUCCCAGCCUUGGGAACAUUUCCUCGAAUAAAUCUGCCUGUAUGGCGGGCUGA